rnacentral:miRNA from 1 species
UGACCCCGGUCUGCUCGCUGG